GGGCUCUUAGCUCAGUUGGUUAGAGCGCUACCUUGACAUGGUAGAGGUCGUAGGUUCGACUCCUAUAGAGCCCA
rnacentral:tRNA from 1 species